CUGAGCCCUAAUCUGCUGGGGUCAGAGCCCCCACCUCCUGCCUGCUGCUCCUGUGGCUGCUGCAGUUUUAUUUUCCUCCGCUCCCUUCCUAAGAAUUCCGCCCUGGCUUAUGAGCUUAAGGCUCCACCGCCCCAUCUGAUCAACACAAAAAAGGCCAGAGAGCAGGAGGGGAGAGUUGAGCGUGUCUGGGGCACAGUGACCCAGAGUGGCUGGAGGAGAAGGCCGGCUGGGAAGGGUGGAUCCCACCGGGGGAGGACCUGCCACCACCCACAGGCUCUGGGUCAUCCCAGGCGUCUCCACUGGGGCAGGAGCUCCAGGACCCCCUCUCCUACUGUCCCUUCUCCUGAGGCUGCUGAUGCUGACGCUGCAGGAUCCGUGAUGUGAACGAUCUCGCACCCCCGUCCCCUGAGGAGGCGUUUAACACCAGUGCGAAGGAAAACCACGCUGCAGGUGCGCACGGCGGGGCCACGGGCUUCCUGUCCUCUCUGUUCUGUGAAGGUUUUCCUGCUUCCCUAUUGACGGGGCCCUUGGUCCUAGCUGUCUUUGGGGAGACAGUUCGCUGUUCACAAAGGUUGCAGGCCCUGGGUUAGAGCAACAUGCCUUGAGGUCUGCAAGCCUCCUUUUUCGUCCUGGCAAUGAUAUGAUGUGCCAUUUUCAGUUGGAAGAGCUGAUACAUAAAUAUCAAUCUAAGAGAAAGUCAAAUGAAUGAGGGAAGUAACAGAAGCAGGUGGUGGGAUCCUGAAUAUCUCUGUGGAUUUCUCAUCUGUAAAAUGCCAGCAAGACGACAUCUAAAGUUUCUGACCUAAGAUUCCGUGAGUUUUUCAAUCCAAACCACCCUUACUGAAAUGUGCAUCUAUUUUAUUUUAUUAUUUUUUAUGACCUGUGGCAUAUGGAACUUCCCAGGCUAGGGACUGAAUCUGAGCUGUAGCUGCAAAACCUGCACCGGCAGCUGUGGCAAUGCUGGACCCACAGCACCAGGCUGGGGAUUGAACCUGUGCCAUUACAGUCAGACUCUUAACCCAAUGCCCUACAGCAGGAACUCCAGGAGCUCUGUGCAUCCAUUUUAACAACAAAAAAGCCUUAUUUAUUUUGCAAGACAGUUUGUAGGAAAUUUGGAAAAUUCCAAGAAACAAAAAGACUGAAAUAGAAAGCAUUUUUAAUACUACCAAUUAGAGAUAAAUCUCACUAAUGCUUUAGCUGAUACUCUUGAUAUUUUUCUUUGCAUUUUAUAUG
rnacentral:lncRNA from 1 species